UGAGCCCACUUGGGAUUGGGUGCUUCGUGGCGUCAAAGCCUGCCAAGGCUGCAUUCUCUGACAGGUCUGUCACGAUGGCCGGCCAAACUCUGGCUGAGGCGAAGGCCGUACUCCUACCGCAGGCAUCUUUGGGGAGUAUUGCGCUGUGGGGGGAACCCUGACACGGCCGUGCCGCGUGAGUGAAUAAUGCCUUCGGGUUGUAUUGUUCUUUCUGUAUUGAGGAAUGAGUGUAUGUUAGUACCAUACGUUAUUGACGUUAAAUACAGAACAGGCACCGGCUAACUCCGUGCCGGCAGCCGCGGUAAUACGGAGGGUGCGGAGCGUUAAUCGGAAUAACUGGGCGUAAAGGGCACGCAGGCGGUUAUUUAAGUGAGGUGUGAAAGCCCCGGGCUUAACCUGGGAAUUGCAUUUCAGACUGGGUAACUAGAGUACUUUAGGGAGGGGUAGAAUUCCACGUGUAGCGGUGAAAUGCGUAGAGAUGUGGAGGAAUACCGAAGGCGAAGGCAGCCCCUUGGGAAUGUACUGACGCUCAUGUGCGAAAGCGUGGGGAGCAAACCAGGAUUUAGAUACCCUGGUAGUCCACGCUGUAAACGCUGUCGAUUUGGGCGACUGGGCAUAAAGCAUCUAGCGUGACACGAUAGCUAACGUGAUAAAUAGACCGCAUGGGGAGUAAGGCAGCACGGUUAAAACUUAAAUGAAUGGACGGGGGCCCGCACAAUCUGUUGGAGCAGAAGGUCUAAUGCGAAGCAACGCGAAGCAACACAUACAUCACUCGAGACAUCCAGAGAACGAUCCAGAGAGGAAUGGAAGCCCUUGGGAAAUUAGAGACAGGGGUGGCAAGGCAGUUGUAAGACACCGGUAAAUAAUGGAGGGUGAAAUCAAGAAAAGAGUGCAACCGGAGUCGUGCCAGACUAACGAUGAGAUCGGGAGACUCAACGAGCGAGAGCCAUAGGUAAAAUGGAGGAAGGUGGGGACGAUGUGACGUCAUCAUGGUCCUUACGAGUAGGGUUACACAGUUGUGAUAACGUGCGUUACCCAAAGCGUGGUGAAAUUGUGUAGGAGGAGGAAAUUUAAUAAAUCACGUAGAAGUCAGGACAGGAGUACGAUAUUGGAUUACAGCAACUUGCACUUGCUGGUAAUAAGUAGAUUAUAAUGUCUCAGCGUCUAGAUGUUAGUGGGCAUUGCACACACCGCCCGUCA
rnacentral:rRNA from 1 species